GCCCAGUUCACUGUUGCCUCGCGUUAUUCCAUCAUCCAUAUUUCUGCUCUUAGUUGCUUUAUAAUGUGUCAGCAGUAAUCAGCCCUGCUGUAUUAUAUAUUGUGCUUGAUUGUUGAUACCUAAUUAAUUAACUGUUUACGAUGGCAGUUAUGGUGGAUGAUGAUUAAUCACUCUACAAUCGCCUGUCACGUGACUUCUUCAACCCGUUCUGUAGAUGGCCCUAAACAACUAUUCGAAACCCGGAAACCAUAACCCUCUAAUCAGAUCCCAACCCUAACGGCCUAACCCUAACCAAAUCCUUUACAAAAGCAUACACUGAAACACUAUAGAGAAAUUAGGCUAACUUCCUUAUACGGUCAUAUCAGGUGAUCGAGACAGUUUUUCGCCAAUAUCUCGUUAGGGGAGAAUUUUAACCUUAUGUCAUGGGGGUAAUAGGUAAGUGCUUAGUAACCUCUUUGCUUUUAUUCGAGCCUUUUAUUAAAUCGAAGUUACAGUUCACGAGGUUGAUCCUUUGGGAGAUAUUAAAUCCUGUUUUACUAUUAUUUAUAAAUUCUAACGUUUAACUUUAAUAAUAAUAAGUAAGUUUGGACGCAGACUAGAAACGAGUUUAAUCGACUAAGUUUUUGAUUUUGUGUACCUUUUUAUCAUACAACUUUUUAAUUUCAGCAAACUUUAGUUAAAGAGUAAAUCAAAGUUAGCAAUCAUUGAACUCAAUAGUUAAAAAGGUGACUGUAAAAAUAGAACUAAGAUUUCGAUACUUUUAAAUGAACUUCUAGUUCUAAUGAUAUAAUUUUAAAUUAUUAGAUGUUUAAAUUUUCCUGAUAGCUGGAUCAUAGUCAUGUAGAAAUUAGGUUAAACAUUGUCAUGCAGAAAUUAGGUUGAAAUAAUUUUGUCCAUAGAAAACACAGUCACGCCUUACAUUAUUACAAGCUUUAAAGGGCUCGUGAGUCGUGUUAGUGUUACUAUUACUUUUGAGCUUGAAAGCAGACAAAACUUUGUUUAUUUGCUUGUUUAUUAUUUUGUUUGUUAUUAGAGAAAGAAGACAGUAUUACCUCUCGAUUAUUUCAGGAGAAGCUAAAAGCGCUGAAAGACCAAGAAAGAAGCAUCUCCCUGUUGAAUCAGCACGCUGAAGAAGUACAGCGACUGGUGAACAAGCUGAUAAACUCAGACAGCAGCAAAAACUUCAAGAUCUAAAAUAGGCCCGGGCUUUUUUAAAAGUUACUGACAUCACGCUGGUCCUCACUUUUUGGAGUCUACUCCCUCAUUUCCAGGCUGAACAGGAAGCUGUACAACAACCGGCCUGACAAGUUACCGGUCUGACAAGUUACAAGUGGUGGACCUACAUCAUCUAGAUGUACAGGUACAAAUUCUACUAGUACGAUUCGAUGCAGUGGAAGAGGUUGAAGUUGACGUUUAAGCAGUCACCCUGCCGAACAAGAAAUCAGUCAGGCAAAGAGGCUAGGUUGACUAGAAACUCAAUCACUAUAUCCGUGAAACUUGCUGGAAGCUAUGUGUGGAGGUCGGACCGAAACUGUAAUCAGACACUAAACAUUAACGAGGACCAAUUAUUUUACUCCUUUAAUGAUGAAUAAAGAUCGCUGAUUGCUUUUACUGAUAUAUAGUGUUAAAAUGAAAGAGAAACUGUUGAGACGAAAGAGAAAAACGCACUCAUUUAUUUAUAGUUUUAUGUCUUAACAAUGUUAUUCGAAAGCUAAUUUUAAAAGCUGGCUCUGAAUCCUUGCUAAAUGAUUUGGGAAGGUGUAAGGGCUAAAUAUGCCUGUAGACAUCAUUUUCAGUGGGUUUUAUGAAGUUUAUGAUUAGGGUAUAUUUUGGGACUGAAAUAAGCGCAAGACCUUCGACGUUUCUAUUCCUACUGUUUUUUUAAUUUAGCAAAUAUACAAAAAAAAUUAUACUGUCGUAAAGAUAAAAUGUUUAGUUAUCGGAUAGAUACUUUAAAAUUAAGUGUUAAAAUAACCGAGCUAAGAUAUUCAAUGUUAAACUCAAAAAUGUUCACGCGUUUAUGAAGAAAUAUUUAAUUCUGCGCGUAGUUUUUUGGUCACAACUAUGGCAAAUUUUUACCAAUUUUGUUCAUAAUUUCAAAAUGUUAUUUAGUAGACAAAUUACUUUCGGACUAAAUCCUUAUUGUUUAUUCAAAUCUAAAAGAAACAACAUUUAUUUGACUUCAAAAUUGUUCAAUCUGAAUACGAGCUAAUUACGACGAAGGGAGGUCACAACACUGCGCGCAGGAGUG